UACGUAGGGUGCGAGCGUUAAUCGGAAUUACUGGGCGUAAAGCGUGCGCAGGCGGUCAGUUAAGUCUGAUGUGAAAGCCCCGGGCUCAACCUGGGAAUGGCAUUGGAAACUGGCUUGCUGGAGUGUGGCAGAGGGGGGUGGAAUUCCGCGUGUAGCAGUGAAAUGCGUAGAGAUGCGGAGGAACACCGAUGGCGAAGGCAGCCCCCUGGGCCAACACUGACGCUCAGGUACGAAAGCGUGGGGAGCAAACAGG
rnacentral:rRNA from 1 species